AUUGAACGCUGGCGGCAGGCUUAACACAUGCAAGUCGAACGGAGUGGCGGACGGGAGAGUACUGCUUGGGAAUCUGGCUUAUGGAGGGGGAUAACGACGGGAAACUGUCGCUAAUACCGCGUAGCAUAUGCUGAUGCCAAGGGGGCUUAGGUAGUUGGUGGGGUAAUGGCCUACCAAGCCGACGAUCUCUAGCUGUUCUGAGGGGAGGAUCAGUCACACUGGAACUGAGACACGGUCCAGACUCCGACGGGAGGCAGCAGUGGGGAAUAUUGGACAAUGGGCGAAAGCCUGAUCCAGCCAUGCCGCGGGUGUGAAGAAGGUCUUCGGAUUGUAAAGCACUUUAAGUUGGGAGGCGUUACCAACAGAAUAAGCAACGGCUAACUUCGUGCCAGCAGCCGCGGUAAUUC
rnacentral:rRNA from 1 species